UACGUAGGGGGCGAGCGUUGUCCGGAAUUACUGGGCGUAAAGCGCGCGCAGGCGGUUCGCCAAGUUUGAGGCGACAAUCACCGGCUUAACUGGUGAAUGCCCUCAAAAACUGGAGGACUGGAGAGCGAGAGAGGGACAUGGAACUCCGGGUGGAGUGGUGAAAUGCGUAGAUAUCCGGAAGAACACCAAAGGCGAAGGCAGUGUCCUGGCUCGUUUCUGACGCUGAGGCGCGAAAGCCAGGGGAG
rnacentral:rRNA from 1 species